GCCCAGGAGCCCGUAGCCGAGGCCUGCUGCCAGGAUCUGGGUGGUCAUGGCCACCCAGGUGACCACGCCGCUGUACUGCAGACUUAUAAAAGAAGUAGAACACACAUGCUUCCCAUUAGGUGAGAAAGAAACAUGCCUGAGAGUCUAAUGGAUUACUCAAGUCUGUGCUGCCAAGGAAGAACAGAAUCUUUAGAUAUCAUGUGUUUUACAAAUUGAAGUUUGUGGAAACCCUGCAUCAAACAAGUCUAUUGGUGACAUUUUCCCAACAGCAUUUGCUCACUUUGUGUUUCUGUGUCACAUGUUGAUAAUUCUUACAAUAUUUGAAACCUUUUUUAUUAUUAUACAUGUUCUGGUGAUCUGUGAUCAGUGAUCUUUGAUGUUACUACUGUAAUUUUUUUGGAUGCUGUGAAC
rnacentral:lncRNA from 1 species